CCUACGGGUGGCAGCAGUGAGGAAUAUUGGUCAAUGGGCGCAAGCCUGAACCAGCCAAGUAGCGUGCGGGAUGACGGCCCUACGGGUUGUAAACUUCUUUUGCAAGGGAAUAAAGUGCGGCACGUGUGCCUUUUUGCAUGUACCUUUCGAAUAAGGACCGGCUAACUCCGUGCCAGCAGCCGCGGUAAUACGGAGGAUCCGAGCGUUAUCCGGAUUUAUUGGGUUUAAAGGGAGGGUAGAGGGGUUGUUAAGUCAGGUGUGAAAGGUUGCGGCUCAACCGGAGAAUGGCAUUUGAUACUGGAAGUCUGGAGUGCAGUAGAGGUAGGCGGAAUUCGUGGUGUAGCGGUGAAAUGCUGAGAUAUCACGAGGAACACCGAUUGCGAAGGCAGCUUACUGAACUGCAACUGACGCUGAGGCUCGAAGGUGUGGGUAUCAAACAGGAUUAGAUACCCGAGUAGUC
rnacentral:rRNA from 1 species